UUCAACCUGAUCUAUUUAUCCCUCACAUAUGCCAUUAGCUGUUUCUUGAAAGUGUGUGUGAGGAAAAAGGCUACUAUCUUGAUGUGUUCGUGUUCAACCAUUGUUUCCUUUUUUCUUCUUCCUCUUUUUGUGAUAUUGCUAUCACUACCUUGAUCCUUCGUGUGCUAGUAAAAGGGCAAUUGGAGUGGGUGUAGAGGCAACCGAAGUGGAAGUUGUAUUUCAGUCAAACCAGAGGCCGAUUGGAAAAACCAAAACCACGGUCGUGCUCAACAGGUCAAGGCACACCUAUCAAGUCGAUGCAAGACAAUUACACAUUAAACAUUUUUGGUGCAAUUGCUUGAAGAUAGUUUGUUCCUUGAUGCUUUAGUGUGAAUAAUGGUGGGUCUAAAGCAGUAAAGCAUAAGAUUCACAUCUCCCCUUAUUUACGGACCGACAAAUUGGUCCACUGGUUAGUACGAGGACAAUUGGAGAAGGUGUAAAAGCAACUGAAGUGGAAGUUGUGUUUCUGGUUUUCGAGCCUCAUUCGAUUGGUGAUUAUUGUUGGUUUAAAUUGAGUCCGAUUUUCACAAGAUUGAAGUGUAUUCCGCUUACAAUUUUCUUGCAUAAUAAAAUUUUAUGGUCUCAACUUGAGUAAUUGGGAUGAAUAAAUAAAGAGAUAAA